UAAGGGGUAGUGUUAUUUAAAGCAUGUAGAAGUUUGGCUUCUCUGGUAAAAAUUUGUUUUUUCUUCUUAG
rnacentral:tRNA from 1 species